GAAAGUGUGUUCUUGAUUUCAUUGAUGGCUUGUGAAGUUUGAUUAUUAAUAUUUUCUUGUCCUUGCAUAAAAGAUUGUAAUCUUUCCUCAAGAGUCUUUGAUUGUGGUGGUGGAAAAGAAGGAAAUUUUGAAAGCCCUUGAGGUUGUGAUAAAUGAACACGAUUAUCAUCUCUCCAACUAAAGUUGGGAUGAUUUCUCCAUUGCUGAUU
rnacentral:lncRNA from 1 species